AUUGAACGCUGGCGGCAGGCCUAACACAUGCAAGUCGAACGAGUGGCGGACGGGUGAGUAAUGUCUGGGAAACUGCCUGAUGGAGGGGGAUAACUACUGGAAACGGUAGCUAAUCCCGCAUACCAUCAGAUGUUCCCAGAUGGGAUUAGCUAGUUGGUGGGGUAACGGCGCACCAAGGCGACGAUCCCUAGCUGGUCUGAGAGGAUGACCAGGCACACGGGAACUGAGACACGGUCCAGACGCGAAAGGGAGGCAGGAGUGGGGAAUAUUGCACAAUGGGCGCAAGCCUGAUGCAGACAUGCCGCGUGUAUGAAGAAGGCCUGCGGGUUGUAAAGUACUUUCAGCGGGGAGGCGUUACCCGCAGAAGAAGCACCGGCUAACUCCGUGCCAGCAGCCGCGGUAAUUC
rnacentral:rRNA from 1 species